AGAAUGAACGCUGGCGGCGUGGUUAAGACAUGCAAGUCGAACGGUUUUUAUUGAAACGCAAGUGGAUAUAAAAGCAGUGGCGAACGGGUGCGUAACACGUGAACAAUCUACCUUCAAAUGGGGAAUAGCUCGCCGAAAGGCGAAUUAAUACCGCAUGUGGUUACUUCUCGCAUGAGAGGCAUACCAAAGUCAGGGACCGCAAGGCCUGACGUUAGAAGAGGAGUUCGCGGCCUAUCAGCUAGUUGGCGAGGUAACGGCUCACCAAGGCUAAGACGGGUAGCUGGUCUGAGAGGACGACCAGCCACACUGGAACUGAGACACGGUCCAGACACCUACGGUGGCAGCAGUCGAGAAUUUUUCACAAUGGGGGAAACCCUGAUGGAGCGACGCCGCGUGGGGGAUGAAUGGCUUCGGCCCGUAAACCCCUGUCAUUUGUGAACAAACCUUUUCACUGAACAAGUGGAAAGUUGAUAGUAACGGAAGAGGAAGGGACGGCUAACUCUGUGCCAGCAGCCGCGGUAAUACAGAGGUCCCAAGCGUUGUUCGGAUUCACUGGGCGUAAAGGGUGCGUAGGUGGCCGGGUAAGUCAGAUGUGAAAUCUCGGAGCUCAACUCCGGAACGGCAUUGGAUACUAUCCGGCUGGAGGGUCGGAAGGGGGACUGGAAUUCUCGGUGUAGCAGUGAAAUGCGUAGAUAUCGAGAGGAACACCAGCGGCGAAGGCGAGUCCCUGGACGACUCCUGACACUGAGGCACGAAAGCUAGGGGAGCAAACAGGAUUAGAUACCCUGGUAGUCCUAGCCAUAAACGGUGCAUAUUUGCUGUAAAAGGAAUCGACCCCUUUUGUGGCGAAGCUAACGCGUUAAAUAUGCCGCCUGGGAAGUACGGUCGCAAGAUUAAA
rnacentral:rRNA from 1 species